GUAGGGAAUCUUGCGCAAUGGGCGAAAGCCUGACGCAGCCAUGCCGCGUGAAUGAUGAAGGUCUUAGGAUUGUAAAAUUCUUUCACCGGGGACGAUAAUGACGGUACCCGGAGAAGAAGCCCCGGCUAACUUCGUGCCAGCAGCCGCGGUAAUACGAAGGGGGCUAGCGUUGCUCGGAAUUACUGGGCGUAAAGGGAGCGUAGGCGGAUAGUUUAGUCAGAGGUGAAAGCCCAGGGCUCAACCUUGGAAUUGCCUUUGAUACUGGCUGUCUUGAGUUUGGGAGAGGUGAGUGGAACUCCGAGUGUAGAGGUGAAAUUCGUAGAUAUUCGGAAGAACACCAGUGGCGAAGGCGACUCACUGGCCCAAUACUGACGCUGAGGCGCGAAAGCGUGGGGAGCAAACAGGAUUAGAUACCCCGGUAGUCC
rnacentral:rRNA from 1 species